UCCAGACUCCUACGGGAGGCAGCAGUGAGGAAUAUUGGUCAAUGGGCGCGAGCCUGAACCAGCCAAGUCGCGUGAGGGAAGACGGUCCUAUGGAUUGUAAACCUCUUUUGUCGGGGAGCAAAAGACGCCACGCGUGGCGUUCCGAGAGUACCCGAAGAAAAAGCAUCGGCUAACUCCGUGCCAGCAGCCGCGGUAAUACGGAGGAUGCGAGCGUUAUCCGGAUUUAUUGGGUUUAAAGGGUGCGCAGGCGGAUUUUUAAGUCAGCGGUCAAAUCGUGGGGCUCAACCCCAUCCAGCCGUUGAAACUGGCAGUCUCGAGUUGGAGAGAAGUAUGCGGAAUGCGUGGUGUAGCGGUGAAAUGCAUAGAUAUCACGCAGAACUCCGAUUGCGAAGGCAGCAUACCGGCGCGCAACUGACGCUCAUGCACGAAAGCGUGGGUAUCGAACAGGAUUAGAUACCCCCGUAAA
rnacentral:rRNA from 1 species